rnacentral:rRNA from 1 species
CGCGUAGGCGGACAUGAUAGUGUUUUGUGAAAUCCCUCGGCUUAACCGAGGAAUUGCGAGACAAACUUCAUGUCUUGAGGCAAGUAGGGGUGUGUGGAACUCUUGGUGGAGCGGUGGAAUGCGUAGAUAUCAAGAGGAACGCCAAAGGUGAAGACAGCACACCGGACUUGUACUGACGCUGAGGCGCGAAAGCGUGGGGAGCAAACAGGAUUAGAUACCCUGGUAGUCC